rnacentral:rRNA from 1 species
GGCUCAGAUUGAACGCUGGCGGCAGGCCUAACACAUGCAAGUCGAGCGGGGUUUUCGGACCUAGCGGCGGACGGGUGAGUAAUGCGUAGGAAGCUACCCGACAGAGGGGGAUACCAGUUGGAAACGACUGUUAAUACCGCAUAAUGUCUACGGACCAAAGUGUGGGACCUUCGGGCCACAUGCUGUCGGAUGCGCCUACGUGGGAUUAGCUAGUUGGUGAGGUAAUGGCUCACCAAGGCGACGAUCCCUAGCUGGUUUGAGAGGAUGAUCAGCCACACUGGAACUGAGACACGGUCCAGACUCCUACGGGAGGCAGCAGUGGGGAAUAUUGGACAAUGGGCGCAAGCCUGAUCCAGCCAUGCCGCGUGUGUGAAGAAGGCCUUCGGGUUGUAAAGCACUUUCAGCGAGGAGGAAGGGUUGUGUGUUAAUAGCACAUAGCCUUGACGUUACUCGCAGAAGAAGCACCGGCUAACUCUGUG